UCCCUGGUGGCUCAGACAGUAAAGCGUCUGCCUACAAGGUGGGAGACCCAGGUUCAAUCCCUGGGUUGGGAA
rnacentral:tRNA from 1 species